UAGGGAAUCUUCGGCAAUGGACGAAAGUCUGACCGAGCAACGCCGCGUGAGUGAAGAAGGUUUUCGGAUCGUAAAACUCUGUUGUUAGAGAAGAACAAGGACGUUAGUAACUGAACGUCCCCUGACGGUAUCUAACCAGAAAGCCACGGCUAACUACGUGCCAGCAGCCGCGGUAAUACGUAGGUGGCAAGCGUUGUCCGGAUUUAUUGGGCGUAAAGCGAGCGCAGGCGGUUUCUUAAGUCUGAUGUGAAAGCCCCCGGCUCAACCGGGGAGGGUCAUUGGAAACUGGGAGACUUGAGUGCAGAAGAGGGGAGUGGAAUUCCAUGUGUAGCGGUGAAAUGCGUAGAUAUAUGGGGGAACACCAGUGGCAAAGGCGGCUCUCUGGUCUGUAACUGACGCUGAGGCUCGAAAGCGUGGGGGGCAAACAGG
rnacentral:rRNA from 1 species